rnacentral:rRNA from 1 species
CCUACGGGAGGCAGCAGUGGGGAAUAUUGCACAAUGGGGGAAACCCUGAUGCAGCGACGCCGCGUGAGUGAAGAAGUAAUUCGUUACGUAAAGCUCUAUCAGCAGGGAAGAAAUACUGACCUUACGGUCAGCAGACGGUACCUGAGUAAGAAGCCCCGGCUAACUACGUGCCAGCAGCCGCGGUAAUACGUAGGGGGCAAGCGUUAUCCGGCUGUACUGGGUGUAAAGGGAGCGUAGGCGGUGCGCCAAGUAUGGAGUGAAAUGCCGCAGCUUAACUGCGGAACUGCGUUGGAAACUGGCGAACUAGAGUGCGGGAGGGGUAAGCGGAAUUCCUAGUGUAGCGGUGAAAUGCGUAGAUAUUAGGAGGAACACCGGUGGCGAAGGCGGCUUACUGGACCGUAACUGACGUUGAGGCUCGAAAGCGUGGGGAGCAAACAGGAUUAGAUACCCUAGUAGUC